AAAGAGUCGGUGUUAUAAUAUAAAGAAGAAGAGACGAUCAAAAUCAAUCUCUCUCGAAGAAGACGUUAAUGGCGGAAACCGUGGAGCUACCGAGUAGGUUAGCGAUUCUUCCUUUCAGGAACAAGGUUCUCUUGCCUGGCGCCAUUAUUCGAAUCCGUUGUACUUCUCAUAGCAGCGUCACACUGGUGGAGCAAGAGCUAUGGCAGAAAGAAGAGAAGGGUUUAAUUGGCAUUUUGCCUGUUCGUGAUGAUGCUGAGGGUUCUUCAAUUGGGACGAUGAUUAAUCCUGGUGCUGGAAGUGAUUCUGUAGAAAGGAGCUUGAAAUUUCUAGUUGGUACAACAGAUGCUCAGAAGUCUGAUGCUAAAGAUCAGCAGGAAGCUCAAUGGCACACCAGGGGAGUAGCAGCUCGGGCUCUGCAUCUUUCAAGAGGGGUGGAGAAACCAAGUGGAAGAGUUACAUAUGUGGUUGUCCUUGAAGGUCUGAGCAGGUUUAAUGUUCAAGAGCUUGGAAAAAGAGGACCAUAUUCAGUUGCGCGGAUUACAUCACUCGAGAUGACAAAGGCAGAGUUGGAGCAAGUGCAACAAGACUCAGAUUUUUUAGCCCUGUCACGCCAGUUUAAAACCACAGCUAUGGAGCUUGUCUCUGUGCUUGAGCAGAAACAAAAAACUGGUGGAAGGACAAAAGUUCUUUUGGAUACAGUUCCUAUCCAUAAACUAGCAGACAUAUUUGUUGCUAGCUUUGAGAUGAGUUUUGAAGAGCAACUAUCCAUGCUGGAUUCAGUUGACCUGAAAGUAAGACUCUCAAAGGCUACUGAACUAGUUGAUCGGCAUUUGCAGUCAAUUCGCGUGGCGGAGAAGAUUACUCAGAAGGUGGAAGGCCAGUUGUCAAAGUCACAGAAGGAGUAUCUCUUGCGCCAGCAGAUGAGAGCUAUUAAAGAGGAGCUUGGCGACAAUGAUGAUGAUGAAGAUGAUGUAGCUGCACUUGAAAGAAAGAUGCAAGCUGCCGGAAUGCCAUCAAACAUAUGGAAGCAUGCUCAAAGGGAAUUGAGGCGACUAAAAAAGAUGCAACCUCAGCAACCCGGUUAUAACAGUUCACGAGUUUACCUGGAGCUGUUGGCUGAUCUUCCUUGGGAGAAGGCAAGCGAAGAACAUGAGUUGGAUCUAAAAGCUGCAAAAGAACGUCUUGACAGUGAUCACUAUGGUUUAGCCAAGGUCAAGCAACGGAUCAUUGAAUAUCUGGCUGUUCGGAAGCUAAAACCAGAUGCAAGAGGCCCAGUUUUGUGCUUCGUUGGUCCACCAGGUGUGGGCAAGACAUCUUUGGCAUCAUCUAUUGCAGCUGCAUUAGGUAGAAAAUUUGUUCGCUUAUCUUUGGGUGGUGUGAAAGAUGAAGCUGACAUUAGAGGACACAGAAGGACUUAUAUAGGAAGCAUGCCAGGGCGCCUUAUUGAUGGGUUAAAGAGGGUUGGUGUUUGCAAUCCAGUGAUGCUGUUGGAUGAGAUUGACAAAACAGGCUCGGAUGUUAGGGGUGAUCCAGCUUCAGCACUGCUGGAGGUUUUGGAUCCAGAGCAGAACAAAUCUUUUAAUGAUCACUAUCUGAAUGUCCCAUAUGACUUAUCAAAGGUGGUUUUUGUUGCCACUGCAAAUAGGGUUCAACCUAUUCCACCGCCUCUUCUAGAUAGGAUGGAGCUAAUUGAGUUGCCAGGUUAUACGCAAGAGGAAAAGCUUAAGAUAGCUAUGCGCCAUCUGAUUCCUCGAGUUCUAGAGCAACAUGGGCUUAGUUCCGAGUUCCUCAAGAUUCCCGAGGCUAUGGUAAAGAAUAUAAUUCAGAGGUACACAAGGGAAGCCGGUGUUCGUAGUCUAGAGAGAAACUUGGCUGCUGUGGCUCGUGCAGCUGCUGUGAUGGUUGCAGAGCAUGAACAAACUCUUCCGUUGAGUAAAGAUGUGCAGAAACUUACCUCUCCUAUGCUUAAUGGUAGAAUGGCGGAGGGAGGCGAAGUGGAAAUGGAAGUUAUUCCAAUGGGUGUAAAUGAUCAUGAGAUUGAAGGUACCUUCCAGAGUCCCUCAGCUAUGGUGGUGGAUGAGACUAUGCUUGAGAAAAUUCUAGGGCCUCCAAGGUUUGAUGACAGUGAAGCUGCUGAUCGAGUGGCUUCAGCUGGCGUUUCUGUGGGUCUUGUGUGGACUACCUUUGGUGGAGAGGUCCAGUUCGUGGAGGCUACAUCUAUGGUAGGCAAGGGCGAAAUGCAUUUGACGGGUCAACUUGGAGAUGUUAUCAAAGAAUCUGCUCAAUUAGCUCUUACAUGGGUAAGAGCCCGUGCAUCGGAUUUCAAGCUGGCACUUGCAGGGGAUAUGAAUGUUCUUGAUGGUCGAGACAUCCACAUUCACUUUCCUGCUGGUGCAGUGCCAAAAGAUGGACCUUCAGCUGGAGUGACUUUGGUGACUGCUCUGGUUUCGUUGUUCAGUCAGAAACGAGUAAGAGCAGACACAGCCAUGACCGGAGAGAUGACACUUAGAGGUCUCGUCCUACCUGUUGGUGGAAUCAAAGAUAAGAUAUUGGCUGCUCACCGUUAUGGUAUCAAGAGAGUGAUUCUACCGCAGAGAAACUCAAAAGACUUAGUUGAAGUACCCGCCGCUGUACUUUCCAGUCUGGAGGUGAUAUUGGCAAAGAGAAUGGAGGACGUACUGGAAAAUGCAUUCGAAGGAGGUUGUCCAUGGCGGAACAACCACUCUAAAUUAUGACAAAUCCGUAGCGCUGUCUUUAAGACCGCAGAGUCAGAAUCAGACCAUGUUGGCGUAUUUGCUCGCAAAGAGAAGUGGAAUCAUAAAGAUAUGUCCUUGCACCUACAAUAUGAUUCAUAUUUCGUAAGUUAAGUUUCCAGCUCCUGAGCUCAUUCUUCGGGAGAGAAGAGAGGUCAGUUCAUUGUGGAGAGACUAGGAUCCAUCGUCUUUAAUUGAUCAUCUCAACUACCUCUUCCUCUAUCCUCGAUCUUGAUCAUCCUUUGAUCCCAUUGCUUUUUAGAGAAUUUCAAUCCUACUCCUACCAUUAGAAAUUUACUUUUGUCAUCUCAUCUCAAUGAACUUUAUGUUGGUUUCCAACCACUUUUCAAUCAAGCUUAGAACA